ACGGCGUGGGCACCGGUGGUCCUCGGCUGCUUCUUGUCCUACAGUGACUGCGAAUUCACUUACAUACAACUAUGCUCUCCACACAUGCUGAAACUGGGGAUCUAAACAUAAAACACGGUCCCUGCUCCCCUGGGGGAGCACACAGUCAGACUGGGAAACGCAGAGAUAAUCAUCAGAGGAUGGGUACGCACCACAGCAGAGAUAGUAAGAGGGGCUGCAAAGCAGCCAGAAGAUGUGUGCGGCCCAGCAUGAGGUCACCGGACUUGACCUCAUUUCCUUUUUAAUGAGAAGGUGAGGCUGAAGCCGUAGGCCAAGCAGGAGCCUGCUGCCACAACCCAGGUGAGAGGCGGGGGUGCUGGACCAGAUGGGGGCAGAGGUGGGCGUGGUAAGAAGUGCUCAGAGCCUGGCUCAAUUCUGAAGUCACAGUCACCAUCAGGUUAGCUAACCUGAGUACAGAACCCUUGAGAGACGGGGACUCUCUCACCGUGAAACCAGGUUCUUCCGGAGCGUGAGACCGAACCCCAAGGCAACGACCAUCCGCUCUGACAUCACAGGAGCCGGCCAGCUGCCUCCCUCCUGACUCACGACUUCAUCUUCCCCGAGGUCAAGGAGAAGCAAGUGGCACCCUCACCAGCCUCCACCACGGCCCUUACACCUGCCGUCUGGUUUGGGUGGGAACGGGGAGCAGCCUCGGGCUUCAAAUCCCUGUCGUUGGCGGUGGGAACCUCUCAGAGCCUCAGUUUCCUCGUCUACAGGAUAUUCCGACCAAUAAGCAGCCUAUAAAGUUGAUAGUGUGUGGGACUAGGGAGGCAGAACCUAAGAGGUUGUCAGUGCCUGCAAGUCAGGAAACUAAAGAAAAUGUGUGAUGUGGCGAAUGCGGUAUGGAAUCCAAGAGAGGCUGAUACACGUGGACAUUACCAAAAGAAACCUCAACAAAACUGGAGUCAGGAAGGCCUGCAGGGGAAGCUCUCCCACUGCAUCAUACAUCCUCAAUUGCUCCAAACAGGAAGAGGCAGGACCUAGCACCUCCCACAGGAAGUGCAACUACAGGAACUGUACUACUGAAGGAGGAAUUCUCUCCCCACCCAGCAACAGCCCAGCCAAUGAGAAGCCGUUGCUGCCCUGAUCUCUUACUCUCCCCCAAUGGACUUUCCUUUAGAACAGCCCCUACCGCUCCUCCUUUUCUCUAUAAAAACAAGCCCCUUCCUUUUGUCUCUCUGGAUUUUCUUAUGGUUUGCCAUAGGAUGCACAUCCCAAAUUGCCAUUCUUUUGGCUCUUCCCAAAUAAACUCCUUUUGCAAGUAAAACAACUGACCAAUUUACUUUUUAAGUUGACAACAACAGUCCCAAGCAGAAGUCAAGGCCCAUCUGAAGCGACAUGGCGUAAGUUUGUAGCAGGAACAUCAGUAUGGUUUGUGACCAUCUCCGGAAAUGUUGAACCCUUGAUGCAGACGUGAAAAGGGGUGAUUGGGGGGGAUCUAGGGAUAAGGCUGUGGGAGAUGAAAGGAGUAGAGGCUCUAAAACAGAGGCGAG
rnacentral:lncRNA from 1 species